GGAGUCCAACGCUAAUGUGGUGGCACCUGUCUUGUCCUGGGGAGAGCAAAGAGGACACUGAAGAGACAGUAUAAACAGGUAAACAUUUGUGUUUCAUCUAAUAAAUAGCAACUGUACAUGCACCCUGGACAUUUUACUAGAUUUGCUGCACUACAGGUGUUUACAUUGAUGAAUCUACAACUAAGAAGAAAAAGGAAACAAGUCUUGAAGUGUAAAGAAAAUGAGCUGAGCCAGGUAUGUGAAGGUAGACAGAUGCUUGUGCAGUGAGGCAUGCCGGUGGCCCAAAACACUCAAGCUUACUACAGUAUUUUUUCAGGUGUUUUGUUGAACAACUUUCCAAGAAUUGAAGUGGAGCUGAAUGUUAUAUGUUUCCCAGUUUCCCCUU